rnacentral:lncRNA from 1 species
AUUCAUCCUGAAUUCAAAGAAGUCAAGGAGUAACCAGUCCGGAAAGGACUGACAUCCUUGUAGUCAGUCACCUGAUGAAGACCUUCACGCUUUUGCUUUUCAUAGCCAGUUUCAGUGCCUGAGCAGGGAUUCACAGAAGAUUGGUGAUAAUCUAAAGCUCCUAAAGUUCCGAUUUGUCUAUGACAGAGCUUGCUAACUUUAAGCCUACCACAUUUAAUCCUGAUAGGAUUGUUUGAAACUUUUGAGUUUGGAAGUUUGGUUUGGUUUUACAAAUUUUGAAAAUAAUAGAUUUUUGCAUUGUGAAUAAAAGUUCACUAUUUAAAAAUAUAUUGUCUAAAAAU